UGUAUCUACAGUCCCACUGAAAAUUAGACAAGACAAGGAAGGCGUGUCAGCACUGUGACUUUAAUAAAAAGGUUUGCAUGGAGGAAGUUUUGUGAGUGACGUACGGAGAGCUGAGGUCACAGUUGGGAUGAAGCUGGUCUUCCUGGCAGCAACUCGCCAACUGAUCGCUAUCUAAGUUCUGCAGGACUCAGCUCUGCACCGGCUGACCUGUCUCUGAAUGCAGACACAGCAGGCGAUCAGCCAACCUGCACCAGCCUGCUGAAUGAGACAGAAAUACAAUACAUCCAAAAUACCAAUAAUUCCUGCAUGGAGGCACUAAGGGCUUCUUCCAUGUAAGGGUAUCACCCGGUAAACGGUGCACAUUGAUCAAGUCUAAGCUCACUGAGCACAGUCCCAGCUGGCCCCCGACACUGGUUUAGGUCAUCCACUGGUGCUGAGGCGUCGCUGAGUUCAGCUACUAUCUGAAAUACAUCACGACAACUUAUGAGCAAUCACACUGCAGUUUGCAAAAGAAAAUAGAAGUCAGCAAAGUUCACGUCAGCCGGAGCCGAGCUGUAAUUGACUUUAGGAGGCCGUUUGCAGAGAGUGCCAGGUGAAGGUGAGGUGAUAGUUGCAGGGCACAUCGUUCCACUGUCCUCCCUCGUGCCAGAUCAUCACCACGCAGUCCUCUCCUGAC